UGUCAGCCGCCGCGGUAAUACGUAGGGAGCGAGCGUUAUCCGGAAUUAUUGGGCGUAAAGCGCGCGUAGGCGGUUUUGUAAGUCAGAUGUGAAAGCCCAGGGCUCAACCUUGGAACUGCAUUGAUACUGCAUGACUAGAGUGCGAUAGAGGGGGGUAGAAUUUCAGGUGUAGCGGUGAAAUGCGUAGAGAUCUGAAGGAAUACCAGUGGCGAAGGCGGCCCCCUGGAUUGACACUGACGCUGAGGUGCGAAAGCGUGGGGAGCAAACAGGAUUAGAUA
rnacentral:rRNA from 1 species